AUUGAACGCUGGCGGAAUGCUUUACACAUGCAAGUCGAACGGCAGCACGGGGCAACCUGGUGGCGAGUGGCGAACGGGUGAGUAAUAUAUCGGAACGUGCCCAAUCGUGGGGGAUAACGUAGCGAAAGUUACGCUAAUACCGCAUACGAUCUACGGAUGAAAGCGGGGGAUCGCAAGACCUCGCGCGAAUGGAGCGGCCGAUAUCAGAUUAGGUAGUUGGUGGGGUAAAGGCUCACCAAGCCAACGAUCUGUAGCUGGUCUGAGAGGACGACCAGCCACACUGGAACUGAGACACGGUCCAGACUCCUACGGGAGGCAGCAGUGGGGAAUUUUGGACAAUGGGCGCAAGCCUGAUCCAGCCAUUCCGCGUGCAGGAUGAAGGCCUUCGGGUUGUAAACUGCUUUUGUACGGAACGAAACGGUCUGCCCUAAUACGGUGGGCUAAUGACGGUACCGUAAGAAUAAGCACCGGCUAACUACGUG
rnacentral:rRNA from 1 species